AUUUCUGAGGGAGGUGCGUGACUGCAGCUUAAGAGUGAAUCCAGGUAAAAUUCCUUUAUAAGACAUAAAAAGCUUCAACAACAACCAAAAAAAGGAACAGCUGGUAAUGCCAAACCAUACAGUUCCAAGCUCCUGUGUUGCUGCUUCAUAUUCCUAAGAGCAAUCUCUUGGCAUUGGCCCACUAUAGCUUUUUGGGCCACAGGGCUUUGUCUUCUGGUAUCCCCAGCCUGCUGUGCUUUGAUGUCUGGGAGGAAGGAUUACAUGGGCAGGCAGCUUUUGGGGCAGUGUGUGCAGAUUCAUUCCACUAGCAGCAACCAUGGGAUUGCCAUUGCUGAGGUGGUCCCAGCACUUGCAGCCAGCAGCCUGCAGCCAGAGCCAGCAGCCUAGGGAGCUGCUUUGGGGACGGAGAAAUGCACUGAGACACUGAUAACAGCCAUGAAGGCUUGUUUGGACAACUCACCCCUGUGAUGGGCUGUUUUCAGAAAUGACACAUUGAUAUUGAAAGCCUUAAAUGUUCCUCAGGCAGGCUGACAAAAACUGCACACUUGUCCUCGGGCUGCUGAGUACUCCUCUCAACUAAUAAAGAAUGAUUUUAUUUGGUUCUUUUGCUGCUGCUGCAGAAAAACAACCCAUACUCACAGUGCACCAGAGGGCUACAGACAUGUUUCCCACCCUCUGGGGCUUUUCUGGGUGCACCCUUGCUAUGGUUCUGAGCCUGGUGCCAUGUGCUGACUGUCCUUCCUCCAUCAGGCAGCUCGUUGUCGGCUGGCACGCAGCAUGCUGCAGGUGAAGAUGGAAGCUUCAGCCCCAGGGUCGAAUAAUGCUGCCCCCACAUCAGCACCAGCUCCUCACACCCAGCAGGGAUCAGGUGCUCUGGGGCAGAAAGCCUUGACUCAUGGCAUUCCAAGCUUCAGACAAAGACGGUUGGAGCACCGUGAUCAUAAACUCCAUCACAGAUUGGCUAUCAGCAGGAUGGAGGUAGGUGAAAUGGAUGGGAAGUGCCAGCUGCCGUACAGUGCAUGACCUGCUGCUAACCCAGCAGCUUGAUGAGUCCAGGGCUGAUGCUUCUGUUGCAAUAAGAGUUCACUGAGGAAUGAAGAAAGAUGAAGGGAGGAAGCACAGGACUUUGGCUUCAGUGUUCAGAGGAGUGAGUAGAACAAAUGGCUCAGUGGGUGGGGAUUUUGGUAACCACUUCGAUUUUGUGGUAGAUUGCUUUUUUUUUUAUUUUAUGACUAUUAUUACAUUUGUUGUGUUCACUUUUUCACUCAGUGCCUUGAGGUUGCACUGUGCUCUGGGUUUUGUGUGAAGCCAUUCUUCUAGCUGCGGCCUUGGAACAGAGAGCCUGAAGGGGACUUUGGGAAGAUUAAAGAUUGCUUCAAGAGAAUGAAUGAGAGCAGACAGCCGGUAUUUCCCAGAGCUAAGAGCUGGUGCGGAGCCUUAGCGCUUUGUCGCAGCUCUGAAUCUGCCAUUGCCAGUGGCCAAAGGGGAUAAAACUGAACAUCUGCCAUCUGUGACUUUUGACCAGAAAGGGACGAUCCUCCUUAUUCCGGGGAAUGAAGCUCUGAUUUAAAGCACUUCAUGCCCUGUUUUCGCUGAUAUUAGAAGGGCUAACAGAUGUUAGGGUCAGGCUUCAGUUUUAAGGAGCCUACUUUUGAUUACAAGCCUACAAUAGAGCUAUGGAAAGAAAAACAUUUUCCCUUGAAGGGAAUGAGUUAGGAGGCUUUUGUGGAAGCAUAACCAAAGGGAUGAAUGUUGCAGGGGCAAGCUGCACUUCCAUUGUACACAAGUGCCUCCAGCUCAAAGGCCUUUUCUUUGUUUUGGUGCACAUUGCCUAAAUCCCAAAAUCUCCAACCUGUGCAACGUCAGGACAAAGCAGUUAAGGAGGCAACAUCUUGAAGGAGCUCUUCUCAGGAGGCAGUGGCUGUUGGAAAUGGUUGAGCAUAAAGUGAAGUACGGGAGCUGUGUUAACGCUUUCUGUGGCUCAGCUGUCCUGGGAGCAGCAGCCUGCAGCAUCCCCAGCCUCAAACCUGCACAUCCAUCACGCCCUCCUGAGCAGGCUGUACUACAGGUCCCAUUUGCUGUGGUGAAAGGUAAUGGGAUUUAAGAUCCUGGGGCCAUGUCAUCUCCACCAGCUUCAGCCCUCAGGUGCGUGGGAAUGCAGCCUCCCACCCUGUGCUCAAUCUGGCUUC